rnacentral:rRNA from 1 species
CUAGCCGUAAACGAUGGAUACUAGGCGUUGAGAGGAUCGACCCUCGCAGUGCCGUAGCUAACGCGUUAAGUAUCCCGCCUGGGGAGUACGCGCGCAAGCGUGAAACUCAAAGGAAUUGACGGGGGCCCGCACAAGCGGUGGAGUAUGUGGUUUAAUUCGAUGCAACGCGAAGAACCUUACCAGGGCUUGACAUGUCCGGAACCCUGCCCAAAGGUGGGGGUGCCUACGGGAGCCGGGACACAGGUGGUGC